rnacentral:rRNA from 1 species
UCUGGGUGUUGAUUAUCCCAGUUGCGCAAGCAGACGUAGCGGCUUCGGCCAAAGCGGAUUCUUUGACCCAUGCACCGAGAAAAUCCCAUAUGUAUACUAAGGCGCCCGUACCGGAAACCGACACAGGUGGGUGGGCAUAAAUGUGCCAAGGCGCGUGAGUGAAACCUCGUUAAGGAACUCUGCAAUCUAGCCCCGUAACUUCGGAAGAAGGGGUGCCCCGUAAGGGGUCGCAGUGAAAUGGGUCAACCGACUGUUUAUCAAAAACACAGCACUCUGCUAACUCGAAAGAGAACGUAUAGGGUGUGACACGUGACCAAUGCGGAAAGAUUACGGUAAGUGGUUAGCGCAAGCGAAGCUACGAGCCCAAGUCCCCGUGAAUGUCGGCCGUAACUAUAACGGUCCUAAGGUAGCGAAAUUCCUUGUCGGGUAAGUUCCGACCUGCACGAAUCGUGUAACGAGUUGACCGCUGUCUCAACGAGGAGCUCAGCGAAGUUGUAAUGGCGGUGAAGAUGCCGCCUACCCGCAGCAGGACGGAAAGACCCUAUGCACCUUUACUGUACGCUGUUACUGUGUUUUCGGUUUUCAUGCUUAGCGUAAGUGGGAGACUUUGAUACCAGCCUUUCGGGGCUGGUUGAGUCGCCAAUGAAACACCACCCUUGGGGACUGGAAACUCUAACCCUUGCCCGUAAUCCGGGAAGGAGACACUGGCAGCCGGUCAGUUUUACUGGGGCGGUAUCCCCCCAAAGAGUAACGGAGGAGUACGAAGGUUGGCUCAGCCCGGUUGGCAAUCGGGUGACGAGUAUAUGGAUAUAAGCCAGCCUAACUGUGAGACCUACAAGUCGAGCAGAUGCGAAAGCAGGUCCAAGUGAUCCGGUGGUUCGAAAGUGGAAUCGCCAUCGCUCAACGGACAAAAGGUACGCUAGGGAUAACAGGCUGAUCGAGUCCAAGAGCUCAUAUCGACGACUCGGUUUGGCACCUCGAUGUCGGCUCAUCACAUCCUGGGGCUGGAGAAGGUCCCAAGGGUCCGGCUGUUCGCCGGUUAAAGUGGUACGCGAGCUGGGUUCAGAACGUCGCGAGACAGUUCGGUCCUUAUCCGCUGUGGGCGCAGGAAAGUUGAGGGGUUUAAACCUUAGUACGAGAGGACCGGGUUUAACGAACCUCUGGUGUUCCAGUUGUCGUGUCAACGGCAGUGCUGGGCAGCUACGUUCGGAAGGGAUAAGCGCUGAAAGCAUCUAAGCGCCAAGCCCCUCCCAAGAUUGACUUUCCCCGAAGAGUCGUGGUAGACCACCACGUUGAUAGGUCAUCGGUAAAAGCGCAGUAAUGCGUU